UACGUAGGUGGCGAGCGUUGUCCGGAUUUACUGGGCGUAAAGGGCGUGCAGGCGGUUUGUUAAGUGCAGAGUGAAAGCUCCCGGCUCAACUGGGAGAGGUCUUUGCAUACUGGCAAACUCGAGGGAGGCAGAGGAAAGUGGAAUUCCCGGUGUAGUGGUGAUAUGCGUAGAUAUCGGGAGGAACACCUGUGGCGAAGGCGGCUUUCUGGGCCUUACCUGACGCUGAGACGCGAAAGCGUGGGGAGCGAACAGG
rnacentral:rRNA from 1 species